AUUGGACGCUGGCGGCAUGCUUUACACAUGCAAGUCGAACGAGUGGCGGACGGGUGAGUAAUGUCUGGGAACCUGCCCGAUAGCGGGGGAUAACUACUCGAAACGGUAGCUAAUACCGCAUACUAUCGGAUGUGCCCAGAUGGGAUUAGCUAGUGGGUGGGGUAAAGGCUCACCAAGGCCACGAUCCCUAGCUGGUUUGAGAGGAUGACCAGCCAAACGGGAACUGAGACACGGUCCAGACGCCUACGGGAGGCAGCAGUGGGGAAUAUUGCACAAUGGGCGCAAGCAUGAUCCAGCCAUGCCGCGUGGAUGAAGAAGGCCUUCUGGUUGUAAAGUACUUUCAGCGGGGAGGCGUUACCCGCAGAAGAAGCACCGGCUAACUACGUGCCAGCAGCCGCGGUAAUUC
rnacentral:rRNA from 1 species